AUUGAACGCUGGCGGCAGGCCUAACACAUGCAAGUCGAACGAGUGGCGGACGGGUGAGUAAUGUCUGGGAAACUGCCUGAUGGAGGGGUAUAACUACUGGAAACGGUAGCUAAUACCGCAUACCAUCAGAUGUGCCCAGAUGGGAUUAGCUGGGUGGUGGGGUAACGGCCCACAAAGGCGACGAUCCCUAGCUGGUCUGAGAGGCUGACCAGCCAAACUGGAACGGAGAAACGGGCCAGACUCCUACGGUAGGCAGCAGUGGGGAAUAUUGCACAAUGGGCGCAAGCCUGAUGCAGCCAUGCCGCGUGUAUGAAGAAGGCCGUCGGGUUGUAAAGUACUUUCAGCGGGGAGGCGUUAUCCGCAGAAGAAGCACCGGCUAACUCCGUGCCAGCAGCCGCGGUAAUAC
rnacentral:rRNA from 1 species